rnacentral:rRNA from 1 species
GGCCCUUAUAGGUGGGGCUACACACGUCAUACAAUGGCUGGUACAAAGGGUUGCCAACCCGCGAGGGGGAGCCAAUCCCAUAAAGCCAGUCGUAGUCCGGAUCGUAGUCUGCAACUCGACUACGUGAAGUCGGAAUCGCUAGUAAUCGUGGAUCAGAAUGUCACCGGUGAAUAACGUUCCCGGGUCCUU